GUCUAUGGCCAUAUCACCCGGAAUGCACCCGAUCUCAUCUGAUCUCAGAAGCUAAGCAGGGUCGAGCCGGUUAGUACUUGGAUGGGAAACAGAUCUUCAGAAGAGACUGCUCAGAGACA
rnacentral:rRNA from 1 species